rnacentral:rRNA from 1 species
AUUGAACGCUGGCGGCAGGCCUAACACAUGCAAGUCGAGCGGAUGAAGGGUGCUUGCUCCUGGAUUCAGCGGCGGACGGGUGAGUAAUGCCUAGGAAUCUGCCUGGUAGUGGGGGAUAACGUCCGGAAACGGGCGCUAAUACCGCAUACGUCCUGAGGGCGAAAGUGUGGGAUCUUCGGACCUCACGCUCUCAGAUGAGCCUAUGUCGGAUUAGCUAGUUGGUGGGGUAAAGGCCUACCAAGGCGACGAUCCGUAACUGGUCUGAGAGGAUGAUCAGUCACACUGGAACUGAGACACGGUCCAGACUCCUACGGGAGGCAGCAGUGGGGAAUAUUGGACAAUGGGCGCAAGCCUGAUCCAGCCAUGCCGCGUGUGUGAAGAAGGUCUUCGGAUUGUAAAGCACUUUAAGUUGGGAGGAAGGGCAGUAAGUUAAUACCUUGCUGUUUUGACGGUACCAACAGAAUAAGCACCGGCUAACUUCGUG